rnacentral:rRNA from 1 species
CAAUUGUUGGUCUUCAACGAGGAAUGCCUAGUAAGCGCGAGUCAUCAGCUCGCGUUGACUACGUCCCUGCCCUUUGUACACACCGCCCGUCGCUCCUACCGAUUGAAUGGUCCGGUGAAGUGUUCGGAUCGCGGCGACGGGGGCGGUUCGCCGCCCCCGACGUCGCGAGAAGUCCAUUGAACCUUAUCAUUUAGAGGAAGGAGAAGUCGUAACAAGGUUUCCGUAGGUGAACCUGCGGAAGGAUCAUUG